UCCUGCUCCUCCUCCGCAGCAGCCUUCCUGACACCUCCUCUUCUGCUGCUUUUCUCAGGCAGUUGGAGGAUUUUCAGUAAACAAAAAAAGGAAAUUGUAAAUUCUGGGCGUCAGGGCAGGUUUGAGGCCAAUUUUGUCUUCUGUCCCUCUUGAGAUAAGAGGAAGAGGAGGAGGAAGAGGAGGAGGAAGAGGAGGAGGAGACGGAUCUGAGGCUUCCGCCUCGUCAGCUCGCCUCAUGGAUGGAGAGAGUGUGGGAGGAAGAGCAGCAGAGAGGAGGAGCUGUUUUUAACUAGAGGUUCUUUCACCCCAGGGACACCUCUGGGGGGGGGGGGGCAGAGGCCAAAGGCCCCCCCCUCCCCUCCAGCCUUCCUGUGUGGACGCCGGCGUGUAUCAUUUGGUGUCAUUAGGCACAAAUUAUACAGAGAGGAGCGCAGAGACAGAUGCUGCUGUUGGCACAUUAUUGUACCCCCCCCCCCCCCCCACACACACACACACAUGCAAUCUGCAGGGGGGGGGGGGUAAUCUAAUCCAUGAGUGAUUAAAGGAAGAGCUUCAGGAGAAAGUCAAGCUCUGAAGACGGAGAUUAAACUCUAAGAGGAAAACGCAGAAAGAGGAGAGAAGGAGUUACGGUCCAGAUCUGUCAGAGGGAGAUCUCCCUCCUCCUCCUCCUCCUCCUCCUCCUCCUCCCCCCCCCCUCCUCCUCCUCCUCCUCGCCACUGCUGCCCGUCUCCCCACCUGUUAGUGCGGAGUCUUCGUCCGCUGACAUCCACUUGUGCAGGAAUCUCCUCUCGACACAAACGGAGACUCUAUGACGGUGCAGAGAGGAAAGAAGCUCAGCAUCUCCAUCCAAGAACACAUGGCCAUUGACGUCUGCCCCGGCCCCAUCAGACCCAUCCGACAGAUCUCCGCCUACUUCCCCCGCCUGUCCCCCACCUCCCCCACACCCCUUUCCCCAAACCCCUCCCUGUCUCCUCCCCCCAACACUUCCCCCGUGGCCCUCAGCCCGCCAGUGGCAUCAGCGAUGGGCGGAGCUCACCUGCUGUCUCCUCUGCGGGCGCACCGCGGGUGGGGCGGUGGCUCUUUGUCCCAGAACAGCAGCAUGGACACGUCUGUGGAAAUCAACAGCGAUGACAGUGACGACUGCACUGCUCUGGGAACGCUGGAGUUCGAGCUGAGGUACGAGCAGAUCUCCAGCGAGCUCCACUGCACCGUUCUGAAGGCCAAGGGUCUGAAGCCGAUGGACUUUAACGGUUUGGCCGACCCGUACGUCAAACUGCACCUGCUGCCCGGAGCCUCAAAGGCCAACAAGCUGAAGACAAAGACGAUCCGGAACUCCCUGAAUCCGGUUUGGAACGAGACGCUGAUCUACGUCGGGAUCACAGAGGAGGACAUGCACAGGAAAACGCUCAGGUUAACCGUGUGCGAUGAAGACAAGCUGACUCAUAACGAGUUGAUCGGUGAGUCUCGGGUUCCUCUGAAGCGUCUGAAGCCCAACGUGACCAAACACUUCCACACCUGCCUGGAACAUCCGCCUCCGCUGCCCUCCCCAUCAGCUGUGGGGGAGGCCCUGCGAGGGAUUUCCUGCUACCUGAGAGAGUGGGAGAACGAACAGCUGCACAGCCUGGAGGAGAGGGGCCGCCUUCUCCUGUCCCUGCAGUUUCUACCUCCGGUCAGUCCCGAGGAUCCCGACGGUGACGGGCGAGGGAGGGGCGAUGGCCGGCGUAACGGCGGACUCUGUGUGGCGGUGAAGCGGUGCGCCCAUCUGGCAGCCAUGGACGUGAACGGAUUCUCCGAUCCCUACGUGAAGAUAUACCUGAAGCCGGACAUAAAGAAGAAAUCGAAGCACAAAACAGCCGUGAGGAAAAAGACGCUCAACCCCGAAUACGACGAGGAGUUUUUCUACGAGAUCUCUCUGACUGAGCUCGCCAAGAAGACCCUGGAAGUGACGGUGUGGGACUACGACCUGGGACGCUCCAACGAUUUCAUUGGUGGAGUCUCUCUGAGCUGCCGCUCCAAGGGGGACGCCCUCCGCCACUGGAUGGACUGUCUGAAGAACAAAGGCCGCAGAGUGGAGCGAUGGCACGUCCUGACCAACGAGCUGCCACGAAGCUUCAGCCACGACUAAUGCCCCGCCCACCUUCAUGCAUGCAGAACGUUAACGACGUCAUGGUCCCUGAUUUCCGUUUGGACAGAUUCACGUCACUUCAGAGCAGUAGUCGCCUGAGAACACGCGUGUGAAUGUUUACAGCCCAGCAGUUGGAGGACGCCUGACCUCCAUUCUUCUUCAUCUGCAAGCCGAAGCUCAUUGGCUGCUUCAGCAGGUCAGCAUCACACCAGCCCUCAGAACCAGACCCUCUAUGGUAAAAGACCCCCCACACCGUGUCCCGGCUGCCCCCGCCCUACGCACCCCCUCCCACCUGAACCAAGGAAACACGGCUGCUGCAGCUCAGGGUGGCACCAAAGACCCACAAGACAGAACUCUGAUGACGGGUUCUCAUGUGGCGUCUUUGGAUUUGUGGUUUACAGACUAAACUACUCAGUCAGGAUCCAAAACACCUUCUUCUGAUGAAACCAAUCAGAUUCCCCAACAUUUUGUUUUUGGAGCGCUUAAAACGUAAAGCUUUGCUGUACUUAUAUUUUGGUUCUCCAAAAGAAUUCAAGUUCUUUAAAGGGUCUAUCCUUAAAUGAAAUUAAGUUAUUUUCUCAGCUCAUUUUCAUACCAGGAAGUAAGACUAGUCGAUCUCUCAGGCUCCGCCUUUCUCACCUUGUGGGUGCCGCCCAUUUCAUGACAUCAUUCUGGAGUCGGCCUUUCUCCCUCGAAAACAAACAUAUGAACUUUUGCAAAGAUGGAUGAAAUAUUGUUCAUACAAAAAAAAAAGAUUAUUUAGCCGAUCACCGCUAGCACCACAGAGUUAGUGGGCGUGUCUGUCAGCCUGGGGGCGGAGCUUGCAGUGUAGACUCUUCCUGGAAGGGCGGUUCCUCACUUUGUGAUGUCACAAUGUGAGGACCCCCCCUGUUUUGGUGGAUUGGGAGUGGCUGGUGUUCACAGAGCAGGUUUACAGAGGAAUGCUCAGAUGAAUGGAUUUAAAUGGGUUUGUUCCCAGUGAGGAACCAACAUUAGAAAACACUCAAAAACUGAUAUAAGCCCUUUAGGACAACCAUUUUCUGACACACAAAAUGUGAUAAAGUGGUUUCAGCUAACUUGAUCGCAUAGGCUGAUUAAAGCUAAGUAGUCCCACUGUGGGCUUCAGCCUUUAGCUACAUUUAUUUCCUAAAUGUCUUUUUUUUUACCAUUCAACACCGCAGAGCUAACACGCUCUUUGAUUUACCCAGACUCAUCGACCGUUUGCACGUAUUUCCAACACAUCGUGACGCUGCGGCUUUGUGUCGACAUGUGACGCACAAAGGCACUUCUCAUCAGAAUCAGCUGAUUCACGUUGAUCGUGUGAACUCUUCACCAUGUGGCGUGUUGUUUGUCAGCACAACGCUGCGUUUCUCUGAAUCGGACGUUAAUAGUGUAAAAAGUUGAAGCGGUAAUUUCCUGAACGCUAAAGCUCUGAUGUUAAAGGUGAACAUGCUGCGUCUGUGAAAAGCCACAUAUUGAUCACAUUUGUGUUCGAAACACGUAGGAGAUGAAAACGUCUACGUCUGAACCCAAUUCCCGAUGUUGGUUUGUUGUCGCUCUCAAGCGUAGGACGUGAUUGUGCGACUGACCUACAAACACAUGGAUGUACUACCGUGUGCCGUUAGAACCACAACAAUCCUCAGACCUUCUGGGAUGUAAGUUUGACUUCCUGAGUUUCUCAGAUUAAAGUUUCUGCAGGAAAUGAGACAAAGUUGAAGCUGGUUUACUGUAAACCCAGACCAGCUCCAGCUCAACACAACAGUCGAGUCAGACUCUACAGGAAGCGACAAACUGCUGGUCCAGACCGGGUCAGGAUGUCCUGAUGUGUUGGAGCUACUGGAAGGAUGUUGGCGAUAGUGCGUACCUUGCAUGCUUUGGUCCGGUUCUUGUUCUGACCUCGUUUGUGUUUCCUUUAUAACUAAAAGCUCGCCGUCGGUUUGGCCUUCGUCAGGCCUGAUCCUGGUCUAAACCUGUUUGGACGGUCCGGAGGCUUUCGCUGAGUCUACCGUCAGGUUCUCCACGUGUUUGUGUUCCACCGUGGACGUGACGAGGAACCGUUCUCCUGCGUUUACUGCUUAAAAAGUUAAAGGUCGCAAAUAUAGAAAACAUAGAAACAGUGGGAAACAAUCAUUAAACCCUUUUAAAUGAAUCCGUUGUGAUAACUGCUUUGGUAGCAAAGCAUUUCUACAUAUUUGCAUUUAGAAGGAAUUAGAGAUAACUUUCAACAGGUUAGGUCUCACGCCAAAGGACGCACUCUCUGUUUAGUUUGGGAUUUGAACCUUUGACCGACCGCCCAUAAGCCAGGUUGUUCACACAUGUGGGGAAUGACCGGCUUUCUGAAGAAGAGUUCCUCAUCCGGGCAGGAUGGACCCUGGCGGGUCUAUUCAGCCCGACCGUGCCUGAUGCCUUCCACCAUGCCUCCACUCAGCGGUCCGGUCCGGUCCAGUCUGGUAUUUUGACGUUUCCAUUAUAGAAUGGACCCGUUACGAUGGACCGAACCAUUUUGGGCCCCUGUUUGCUGAAGGUCCAUAAAAAUGGAGCGGACCUGUUGGGGCGGAGCUAGUGUUGAAACGUGUUGAUUGGCUGAAGGUCAUUACUGCGACCUUUAAACGACUUUCAGUGAUUUGUGGAAAGGCAAAGAAAUGAGCUGCUGGACGACCGCCAGCGCUGUGGUUAGCUCCGCCCCGCAGGCGCCAUAACGGUUCAACCCUGGAGGGCAAACGCUCAUCUGAAUCGCCUGGACCAUCCUAAACCAGACCGGACCGCUCAAUGGAAACAAGGCUUUCCAGAACCGCAGACUGGUUCCAGAACCCACACGGGACAGUACCGUCACGCUCUGAACCGACUCAGGCUCCUUCUCUGCCAGAGAUGCAUCUUCAGGAACCAAAGAUAGCAGCCUUUCAGUGCUCUUUACUGCCCCCCACCCCCUACUGUCCCUCCUGGGGGUGUUGAGGCUUCAGAACCGACAUUAAGGAGGCCCCCCCCCCCCCCCCCCCCCCCUGUAAGGACAGGGUUAAUGGAUGAGGAGGGGUCACAAAUGCCCUCCAACCAAGGGCUUUUACAAUCCUAAGAGAGCUUGAAGACCCCCCCCCCCCCCCCCCCCGAUGAUGAGAGCAGCACCUGAAGGGGUAUGAGGGCAGAUAACCCCCCCCCCCAUGACAGCUCUCACCACGACCACCGGAGCAUUUCCAUCCCAUCAGCCUCAUCACAUCCGGGAAACGGAACCGGUUCUGAGGGUUCUGGGCCUGAAGCUCGGCUUCCCUCAGGGACCUUUGGUCUGAAACUUCUCGGCCCCCCCCUGCAUCUCUGCGGCACGCGUGUGCGCGUCUCUUCAGGUGGUUCUUCCUCGUCGUUGCAUGAUGCAGUAUGUCGACAUACUUCUAUACUCUGCCUGUUUUCUAACGUGUUCCAGUGAGACAUGAAGCAGCAUCCAGGUUCCGGUUCUCCGGCGUUCCGGUUCCUCUUAUGCACCACUGAAUGUAGGAACGUGGCUCUCGGUGCGACCUCCUUGUUUACACUGAUCUCGUGCUCUGCAGCUGUUUCUAUCAGGUGUUUUCAUGCAACAAUAAACUUGGAAUGCAAACUGG